CUGUGGCUCUUCUCUUUGUCUACUGAUUGCCCAGUUAAGGCUACAGUUAUGAAUCUAGAACGAUUACUUUGCUUUUGUUUCUCUUGCCAUAGGAAGCUGUUGGGGCCCCAUCAAAAUACAAAACUUCUGCACAGCAAAGGCAACAAUCCACAAAACUAAAAGACAACCUACUGUAUUUGCAGCAUCAUUUAAAGAGCCACACUAUGGAAGCAAUAGAUGAAUGGAUAGAGAAGAUCUGGCAUGAAACCAGAAUGCGAUGUGUAUCACAGGCGGUCCUCCGAGAGAUUGCAAAGACGAGGAGACCGUAGGCUGCUCUGUGGCCAAGCGGAUGCAGCCCACUACUUCCGUGCUCUCAGGAGAAAGUGCGACCACUCCUCAAGUAAGAGGCCCUGACAAUACUAUUUGUUACACGCAGUUAUGAGGAGUGUAGAUUUAUAGUCAAUCUUGCAAUCAGGGAGUGUGAAUCCUCCAACUUUUUCUUGUUCAAAAUAGUGGUAGUUCUUUGUUUUCUUUGUAUAAAUUUUAGAAGAAGCUUGUGAAUAUCUACCAAAAAUCCCACUCGGAUUUUGACUGAGAUUGCGUUGCUCUGUUGAUGAAAUUAGGGGAGAAUUGACAUCUUAAUAAUAUUGAAUUUUCUUAUCCACAAACAUAGGCUAUCUCUCCAUUUAUUUAGGUCUUCUUUGAUUUUUCUCAUCAACAUUGGUAGUUUUCAGCAUUAAAAUCUUAGAUUUAUCCCAAAGUAGUUCAUGGUUUUUAAUGCUACUACAAGAGUGCUGAUGACUUAAUUCCAAUUUCCAAUGGUUCACUGCUGAUAGUGGAUCCUUGCAUGUUCACCUUGCAUUCUCCUACCUUGCUAAGCCAAUUUCUUAGUUCUGGAAUAUUUUUUCCCUUUUGGGGGUUUUCUGCAUAAAUAAUCAUGUCAUCUCUGAAUAAAGAGAACUUUAUUAUUUCCUUUACACUU